rnacentral:rRNA from 1 species
GACGAACGCUGGCGGCGUGCUUAACACAUGCAAGUCGAACGGAAAGGCCCUGCUCUUGCGGGGUGCUCGAGUGGCGAACGGGUGAGUAACACGCGAGUAACCUGCCCCUGACUUUGGGAUAACUCCAGGAAACUGGGGCUAAUACCGGAUAGGAGCUCCUGCUGCACGGUGGGGGUUGGAAAGUUUCGGCGGUUGGGGAUGGACUCGCGGCUUAUCAGCUUGUUGGUGGGGUAGUGGCUUACCAAGGCUUUGACGGGUAGCCGGCCUGAGAGGGUGACCGGCCACAUUGGGACUGAGGUACGGCCCAGACUCCUACGGGAGGCAGCAGUGGGGAAUAUUGCACAAUGGGCGGAAGCCUGAUGCAGCAACGCCGCGUGCGGGAUGACGGCCUUCGGGUUGUAAACCGCUUUCGCCUGUGACGAAGUGUGAGUGACGGUAAUGGGUAAAGAAGCACCGGCUAACUACGUG